GCUCGCCAUCUGCGUCACCUCGCCCACCUGGUUUGCUGAGCGAGGUCCUGGUGCCACGUGACGCACAGAACAGGGCUCUAACAUUGUGACACCUGCCUCCCGGCGGGGCACUUUAUACUACCUCGUCUAAGCCGCUCAGCACCCUACCACCCAGCGGGCACCUGCGCCUUUUUACCGCGGGGGUACCGACUAAUUUCCUAAUCCGUGCAGAUUUUGGAUCCCUCGCUCUCUGACCUCGUUUUAGGAACGGGUGGGAGGAGUGACCCAGCCUCAAGGGAUGGCUCGGCCAGCGGACACCGGGGCGAGCCUAGGACCUCACAGGGGCCUGCCCUUGACAUCCGGGGCUAUUACAAAUAUUGCCUCCAAGUUGGGGCUCCUUGUAAAACCCGGCGAAGGAGCCGCGGGGCCAGGAGGCGAGCAGAGGGAGGGAGAAGACUGAUGUGGCAAUCCUGCGGGCAGGGCGAGAGAAGGAAGGAAGCCCUUUUUCUUCACCUGUCAAACUCCCAAUAUAACGGUUAUUUCACAAGGAAGAUCUGAGAAUUCAUGAGACGGACCCCAUGUAGUAGGUAGUUGCUCUUUCCCAGUCUCCUCCUGCCACCCCUUUUGUCUUCAAGACCUGGCUCAACCAACCUUCUGUUUGUUUCCCCCUUACCCUACUGGGGUGAGUCUCGUUAGUGCCUGCUUUUGCCAUGGAGCGGGACCUGACUCCUCCCAUCUCUCAUGUGGUGACCUCCCAGUGUGUGACGGCCUUGUCUGCCCCCACACCUGCCUUUUAAAAGCACUCUUCAUGUACAGUUCAAGCACUGGGCUGCAGUCAGACCAGGAAGGGUGCAGAGAACCGUGCAUGUGACCGGGAAGAGGCACAUUCAACAUCACGGGUGAUUCUCAGCCAAAUGGAAAAUGAAGUUCAAGGAGAAUGGAGAAGAAAUGAGAUCUUCAAACACAGAUUCGAACAAGAUCAGGAAGUCUGGACAGACAAGGUACUACUGUAUUGUAUUAGUACAAAUACACGUGUGUGCUUCGGGUACAGAUACAGCACACGCACGUCCUUUAACACACUCCGUUCAGCUCAGCCAUGUUUGAGUGCGGAAAUGCAGUCACCUGAACCCAAACGCUGCAAUAGUACUCCAUAGACUGUGUGUGCACACCAGUGGCGGCGGCGGCAGAGGGCAGAGCCCUUGGGAGACGGUUCUGUUGAUAGAAAUCACGGGCCACUUGCCUACAACCUACAGGAUUAUGUGCUGAGAGCAGAAUUUCAGGAGCCCGUUUGACCUCUCCA